rnacentral:rRNA from 1 species
AUGGCACGCGCCGCUGCCGCCAACCUGCGUGGCCUGGUCGGCAUUGCAGCGGCGGGCCGGAGGCGGGUGACCGCCUCCGUCGCGCCACCCCGCGCGUCGCCCGGCGGGCGCGCAUUCCGGGCCGUGGCCUCAGGCUCCGGGGGCAGGACGACUCCUGAAUCCUCCUCUUCGUCCUCGCCGGCCCUACCACAGCUGCAGCCGCGGCGCGGCUUGGCGACGAGACGAGCGGUGCUGCGUAACUUGAUUAGCGGCGGCUUAGAGAGUGAGGAUGGUAAGCUGAGCUGCGGAUAUUCAAGUUUUAAAGGGAGGAGACCUACUAUGGAGGAUCGCUACGAUGUAAAGUUCGCUAAAAUGAAGGGACAGUCAGUUAGCUUGUUUGGUGUAUUUGAUGGUCAUGCAGGAGCACUUGCCGCUGAAUAUCUAAAGGAACAUCUGCUUGACAACCUUAUCGAGCAUCCUCAGUUCCUGAGAAACCCAAAGCUUGCUCUGAAGACGACCUUCCUGAAAACUGAUGCUGAUUUCUUAGAGUCGGUAACCACUCCUUAUAGGGAGGAUGGUUCGACUGCUUUGGCUGCUGUUCUGGUUGGUGACCAAAUUUAUGUAGCAAAUGUUGGUGAUUCACGUGCUAUCGCUUUAAAAGGUGGCAAAGCUAUCCCACUCUCAGAUGACCAUAAACCUAACUUAAAGGAUGAGAGAACGAGAAUUGAGAAUGCUGGAGGUGGUGUUAGUUAUGAUGGUUUUACUUGGAGGGUUGAUGGAAUUCUGGCAAUGUCCCGUGCAUUUGGCAACCGUUCAUUGAAGAAUUAUGUGAUAGCAGAGCCUGACAUUCAGGAAACGCAGGUCAGCAGUGACUUGGAAUACCUGGUUCUCGCUACAGAUGGUCUUUGGGAUGUCGUGCAAAAUGAGGAUGUUAUUUCACUUAUGAGAGCAACGGACGAGCCUGAGGUGGCGGCAGUGAAGCUGACGGAAAUGGCCCACUCUCGGCACAGCUCAGACAACAUUACAUGCAUUGUGGUGGGAUUUCACCACUGA